rnacentral:rRNA from 1 species
UACAGAGGUCUCAAGCGUUGUUCGGAUUUAUUGGGCGUAAAGGGUGCGUAGGUGGCGACGCAAGUCUGAUGUGAAAUUUCGGGGCUCAACCCCGAAACUGCAUUGGAUACUGCGCCGCUCGAGGAUUGUAGAGGAGAGUGGAAUUCACGGUGUAGCAGUGAAAUGCGUAGAGAUCGUGAGGAAGACCAGUUGCGAAGGCGACUCUCUGGGCAACUCCUGACACUGAGGCACGAAGGCCAGGGGAGCAAAC